rnacentral:lncRNA from 1 species
AAGGCUGUGGAACCAGGAGAAGGUCUGAGGAACGGAGCUCCCGGAAGUAAAGGCAUUGCCUCACAUUUGAGUAAGCACAAUUACAACUCUUGGGGUAAAGAGCCUCAGCGACAAGGCCCAGGAAAGCAGGUGUAUUGAGAAUUAGAGAGACUCGGAGCGGGCCCCAGAGGAGAGGUAGGGAGUGGUCCUGGCAGCUGUUGGAUGAAGCAGGUUGGAAGGGCCUUGAGAGCAGAGGUCUGUUGUUUAACAUCAUCUUCGAGUGUACCCUAGCACGGCGGUCUCGGCUGGAGAGAUUUUCUGUGUGCUGAACUUAGAUGGAUAUGUCAAAGUGUACUCAAGCUUUCUUGAACUUUUUCCCCAUCUGAAAUCACUAAAAAUGUGCAGUAUUUCAAAAAGCCCAAGUUUGCCUCCAAAUAUGCUUGUGAAAUGUAUUUCAACACACAUAUCCAACAGUAAGAACAUGCUGGCCAUAUCAAUCCUCACAGCAACUCUUUAUUGCAGCAUAUUGAGGUUUAAUCAGGAAACAGGUUAGAGCUUCUAUGUACAGGUUUUCUUCUAGUUUGAGGUUUUCCUGAAAUAUGUGACACAGACUCGUUAUACAAAUGGCCACUAGUAAAUUAUUUCCAGCAUGUGUUACUCUGUCAACAGUGAUGCUUUCACAGAACCUUUGUCCUCCACAAUUCCCCCCCUCCAUUUAAACCAGGACAUUUCCAUCUCAGUGAGCCACUGCUGUAUUUGGGACCUAAGCGAGAAGCUGGAUAAACAGAGGCGCUAUUAUUAUUGUUACUGUCAAUAUAGUUUCCUUCCCUAGUUAUAACUGAUUAUUUCCUUUUUUCCAUUUCAAAACAUUUUUGUUCAAAUGCUUCUGAUGGCUCUCGUCACAAGCAAUAUUCCUUCGGAAAUAAUGCACCUUUUUAAUUUCUCAACCUAAAAUACACAGCCCGUCAUCUCCAUAGUAGGAUGAUGCUGUUAGAGAGAUCAGCUGUGUCUAGUUGGAGAAUUUUUAGGGGAAUAAGGGAUUACAGGAGCGAGUGCUUCCUCUAUUAGUUCGUGCAAAGUGAAGACAAGAAAGAAAGUCUGUAGGAUGUAAGAGGUGAUGUUACUCCAGCAAGAGUUGGGCAUUUGGAAACACAUGGAGUUAAAAGCAGUUUUCACUUAAUGUGCUUUGUUGUUUCUGCUACAAUAAAAAUAAAUAAUAAAAAUUC